rnacentral:lncRNA from 1 species
AUGGGACUUUUUUGUUCUUAUCUGCAUCUUUCUUCUAUCCUUUUCAAUUAUUAAAGUCAGAUAUUCAUUUCUUCAGGCUAGAAAAAAGUGUCAUUGCACUUAUCAAAUAUAAAAACAAUCAUGUCACUUUUUUUUAACAAAUUACUUUAACAGAAAAGCAGGGAACAAAAGACUAUAGAUUUGAGUUUCUGACAAAUUUACUCUAGCAAAGUUUGAACCACUGGAGUGCUUUAAAAGUCUGAAUCACCUAGACCGUCCAUGUUCGAGACUUUAAGUAAUUCUGAAGUGUUAAAUGAAACAAAUUACUUUGUCACUCUUUGAUAGUGGAGUGCUCUGUUUAUCUUAGCCAGGCAUGUCAACACUUGGCAAGGUUCUAAAUGUGUUAUGUUAAGAAUCAUUUUAGUGCCAGUUAUGACACUUUUAACGAUCAACCUUUACAAAAUAAGAGUAAUAUAAAGCGUCUAGACUUCCAGUUAGAUGUUGCAGCAUUUCUUACUUUAUUGUAAUAUAAUAUCAAAUACAAGUGUUUCUAAGAACAGAAUCAUUAACAAGUGAACCAAAUUAUCUAUGUUCUUAUUUUUUGUUAAUACUUUUGUUUGUUUACAUGUUUUGAAAGUGCCGGAUAUUGUUUUUUUCCUUUUUCUCCUUACUGAUG